CAUAAGAAGUAGCAAUACUUUUGGUGGCGACCGGCGGAUGGGUGAGUAACGCGUAUGCAACCUACCCUAUACAGGGAGAUAGCCCGUUGAAAGACGGAUUAAUAUUCCAUAUUAUCUUUAUGUCGCCUGACAUUUUGAUGAAAGAUUUAUUGGUAUAGGAUGGGCAUGCGUUUCAUUAGUUUGUUGGUGAGGUAACGGCUCACCAAGACUACGAUGAAUAGGGGAACUGAGAGGUUUAUCCCCCACACUGGGACUGAGACACGGCCCAGACUCC
rnacentral:rRNA from 1 species